rnacentral:rRNA from 1 species
GACGAACGCUGGCGGCGUGCCUAAUACAUGCAAGUCGAACGAGAGCGACCGGUGCUUGCACUGGUCAAUCUAGUGGCGAACGGGUGAGUAACACGUGGGUAACCUGCCCAUCAGAGGGGGAUAACAUCCGGAAACGGAUGCUAAAACCGCAUAGGUCUUCGAACCGCAUGGUUUGAAGAGGAAAAGAGGCGCAAGCUUCUGCUGAUGGAUGGACCCGCGGUGCAUUAGCUAGUUGGUGAGGUAACGGCUCGCCAAGGCCGUGAUGCAUAGCCGACCUGAGAGGGUGAUCGGCCACAUUGGGACUGAGACACGGCCCAAACUCCUACGGGAGGCAGCAGUAGGGAAUCUUCCGCAAUGGACGCAAGUCUGACGGAGCAACGCCGCGUGAGUGAAGAAGGUUUUCGGAUCGUAAAACUCUGUUGUUAGAGAAGAACAAGUGCUAGAGUAACUGUUAGCGCCUUGACGGUAUCUAACCAGAAAGCCACGGCUAACUACGUG